rnacentral:rRNA from 1 species
AAUAGAUACCCGGGUAGUCCAUGCCGUAAACGUUGGGCACUAGGUGUGGGACUCACUCAACGGGUUCCGUGCCGUAGCUAACGCAUUAAGUGCCCCGCCUGGGGAGUACGGCCGCAAGGCUAAAACUCAAAGGAAUUGACGGGGGCCCGCACAAGCAGCGGAGCAUGUUGCUUAAUUCGAGGCAACGCGAAGAACCUUACCUGGGUUUGACAUGUACGGAAAAGCCGCAGAGAUGCGGUGUCCUUUUGGGCCGUACACAGGUGGUGCAUGGUUGUCGUCAGCUCGUGUCGUGAGAUGUUGGGUUAAGUCCCGCAACGAGCGCAACCCUUGUCCUAUGUUGCCAGCGGGUAAUGCCGGGGACUCGUAGGAGACUGCCGGGGACAACUCGGAGGAAGGUGGGGAUGACGUCAAAUCAUCAUGCCCCUUAUGUCCAGGGCUGCAAACAUGCUACAAUGGCCAGUACAAAGGGCUGCUAUACCGCGAGGUUGAGCGAAUCCCAUAAAGCUGGUCUCAGUUCGGAUUGGAGUCUGC